rnacentral:rRNA from 1 species
AUUGAACGCUGGCGGCAUGCCUUACACAUGCAAGUCGAACGAGUGUAGCAAUACACAAGUGGCGAACGGGUGAGUAAUGCAUCGGAACGUAUCCUAUUGUGGGGGAUAACGUAGCGAAAGCUACGCUAAUACCGCAUAAGACCUGAGGGUGAAAGCGGGGGAUCUUCGGACCUCGCGCGAUAGGAGCGGCCGAUGUCGGAUUAGCUAGUAGGUGGGGUAAAGGCUUACCUAGGCGACGAUCCGUAGCGGGUCUGAGAGGAUGAUCCGCCACACUGGGACUGAGACACGGCCCAGACUCCUACGGGAGGCAGCAGUGGGGAAUUUUGGACAAUGGGCGCAAGCCUGAUCCAGCCAUGCCGCGUGAGUGAAGAAGGCCUUCGGGUUGUAAAGCUCUUUCGGACGGAAAGAAAUUGCUUCGGAUAAUACCUGGAGUAGAUGACGGUACCGUAAGAAGAAGCACCGGCUAACUACGUGCCAGCCGCCGCGGUAA